rnacentral:rRNA from 1 species
AUGUCUUCCUCCGGUUCCUCCCACCCAAACCUCAACCAGCAGGUCACGGAGAAACUCACCCGCACCAACUACGUCUUGUGGCGCGCCCAGAUCAUGCCACAGCUGCGGGGUGCUGAUGUCUUCGGCUAUGCCGAUGGCACCACAUCAGAACCGGCUCGCCUCCUUGUCAGCAAGGAUAAGGACGGGAAAGAAUCGUCGGCGCCCAACCCUCUCCACCCCAUCUGGGUUCGGGAGGACCAGCAGGGGAGCCAGGCGAGCAACACAGUGAAAAUGGUGAAGAAACUGGUGAAGAAAUCGUUCCGGGCGAGUCAUAUCGCGUGUCCCGCGGCGUGGGGAACAUAUCCUCCUCGGGAUUUCUGUCGCAGAGGCCCGGGCAAUCGUCUUCGGGAUCAGCGCCAGGUGAUAGCUGCGGAUCCGCGGCAGAUCGACCAGACGCGCCAGCUGCGGUUGGCCGCACGCGCGCCUCCGACCCGCCGCUCGACACACGGCCACCUCCGACCGGGCGAGGCGCGCCCUCCGGCCCGCAUCAAUCACCGGCUGCCACGCGGCAGCUCGAGAAUGGCCAGGGACGCACGCGCUUCGCGGCCCAGCUCGUGUGCUACAAGCGGCGUCCCGCCGUUCGCCAGGCGGACGUCGAGACAGCCCCUGACUCCAGUGGGCCUGGAUCUUUUGCCAACCGCCCUGGAUCUUUUGCGGCUCCACUCUCACCAGCGCCUUGGCCCACUGCCACAGAAGAUUAGGAUCGCCCUGAACCGGCUGCUGCAGGCGGAUCCGCCUCGGAUUCCGUCGCUGAUCUGUCCCAGAAAGGGCUACGGGAUCUUCUACGGCUACGAACUCUCCUCCACCUCAACGUCGCACAAGGCUGCAACAAGGGGGACUGACCCCCGCGUCGCUCCCACCGGGCGACUCGGGGGAGACAACACCGCAGCCGCCGGUCUCCCACCCGUCGGUACCCUCCUCUCCGCCGCUGCCGCUGGCUUGGCCGCAGUGGCGGCGGCCCCCCGUCUUCGAAGGUGGCGUGGGGAGACCCGCGGUGGACGCUGGGGCGCCCGAUGGGCGCGAGACAAGAUGUGUCGUUCGCGGCGGCGGGGAAGCGCGGGCUGCGGCCUAGCUGGAUGCGUGGCCGACGGCGGCCGACGCGGAUGCGCCGGAUCCGCGCGUCUUCACGUCCCGUGGUGGAUGGUGCGGGAGUGGCUGUGUGCAGCAGAUGGAGGGUUGGGCGUGGAAGGGCGGCUUCUUGCCUUAUGUGCAUCGGAUCUGGUCUCCGGCAGGCACGCAGUGGUGCACGUGGUGCGUCUCAGCGCGAUUGAUGUAUCGCUGCAGCUCGGAACCAUGGUGGUUCUUGGCCUCGGCAGCGUUCCUCUGCUCUUUGUCGGCAUGGUGCUCGGCAAGGCACGGCGGCUCGCGCUGCGUCCGAUGGCCCUGCGUCCGGACGACCCCUGUGGUCUAGAUCUGGCUAUGUGCGGUGGUGACGGCGCUGCAAUGGCCCUUCAUGGUGGUGCAGGUGAGCAACCCUUGUCACUCAACCGGUCCGUCGAGAGGUUGUCAGAUCAACUGUGGCGAAAGCCUUGCUCCAUCUGGAGCCGGCGAUGGCGACACCUGUGGGCGCCGCUAAUCUUCUUGGAGACAUCCUUGUCAUGUUGUUUUACCCUCUUUGCCGGCUCCCCAGGGGAAACCCCUAGUCCAGGUUCUCCUGAUGGUGGUGGUGGUGGUGCGGCCGCUUGGGGUCGACGGUGGCUGUUUGGUGGUGUUCUUUGGGGUUCGGCGGUGUGGUGGUGGCGCGGCCGGCUUGCGCUGGUGUGCACGGUGAAGCGAUCGGGGUGUAGACUCGGCUCCUUGAUGCCCUUCGGCUUCGCCGGCGGUGCCGCUGUUCUCUUCGUCUAUGGUGGUGGUGUUCUCGUGCAGCUCAGGUUGGUAAUGGUUGCUCAAGAUCCUUUCAUGGUUGCCAUUGUGUUGCGUUGUGCCAUGGAGGCUGGUAUGCUCGCCGAUGCGUUCGGCUGUUUGCAAAGUCCUGGUAUUGUUAUCUCCCGACGACACCCCACAUCUACUUGCAUCUCUCGUGGUGAUGGUCUUAUGCCUCCUAGCUUGGCCGUGCCUUCCACUUUGAGUAAUAUAUUCAGGUGGAGAAACUCCUCCCCCGGUGAUUCUCAAAAAAAAAAACUUCGGAGACACCGAACAAGGGUAGCUACCAUGGAGUUCUGGGAUGUGAUCGCUUAUACAUGGGGUGUUGUGGUCCGUGAUCCCACGGGUGAUGUGGUCGCUUGCAUGGCAGGGAAAUAUGAGCAUUUUCAUGAUGCAUUUGCAGCUGAGCUACAGGCAGCCGUCUGCGCGGUGGACUUGGCAACCCAGCUGGGGGCUCUCCGCAUAUGCAUUGAAACAGACUCCCAGCUUCUGCAAAUGGCCUUGCGGGAGGCAGAUUAUGCAGCUCACGAGCUUGCAAAGCUGGGCUACGAGUGUGAUGUGAAUGUUCCCAGGAUGUGGGAAGUUCAUCUAUUUUACAAAUAUUACCCCCUGGAUUUAUUGGUGCUACACUUUUUUGACCGCCUGCUGGCUGCUGGCUGUUCUUAUCGCCCAUUUCGCCGCCUGCUGGCUGUUCUUGUCACGGUCAAGGCUGCGCUGCGGCGAGGGAGGGAGAAAAGGCUGUUGGAAACAGAAGUUCAUGGUGCAAUGACGGGAGCUCAGUUAGCCUUGCAGCACGCAGACCAAUCAGGCUGA